AUUGAACGCUGGCGGCAUGCUUUACACAUGCAAGUCGAACGGUAACAGGGUGCUUGCACCGCUGACGAGUGGCGAACGGGUGAGUAAUGCGUCGGAACGUGCCGAGUAGUGGGGGAUAACGCAGCGAAAGUUGUGCUAAUACCGCAUACGUACUGAGGUAGAAAGUGGGGGACCUUCGGGCCUCACGCUAUUCGAGCGGCCGACGUCUGAUUAGCUAGUAGGUGAGGUAAAGGCUCACCUAGGCGACGAUCAGUAGCGGGUCUGAGAGGAUGAUCCGCCACACGGGGACUGAGACACGGCCCAGACUCCUACGGGAGGCAGCAGUGGGGAAUUUUGGACAAUGGGCGAAAGCCUGAUCCAGCCAUGCCGCGUGUCUGAAGAAGGCCUUCGGGUUGUAAAGGACUUUUGUCAGGGAGGAAAUCCCUAGUGCUAAUAACACUGGGGGAUGACAGUACCUGAAGAAUAGGCACCGGCUAACUACGUGCCAGCAGCCGCGGUAA
rnacentral:rRNA from 1 species